UAAUUGUUAAAGGAAAAAGGGGGAAAAAAUGCGAAGGUUAGCUCUCACACUCUCAAUCUUGUCUCUGCUACUAGCGAUUUCGCAAUCCUCAGAAUCCAAUGAAAAAUUCAAGAUAGAUGGGAAAGUGUUGGAACUCGACGAAUCGAACUUCGAUUCCGCCAUUUCCACCUUCGAUUUCAUCUUUGUUGACUUCUACGCCCCUUGGUGCGGUCACUGUAAGCGACUCUCUCCCGAGUUAGAUGCUGCUGCUCCUGUUCUUGCCGAAUUGAAAGAGCCUAUAGUUAUAGCAAAAGUAAAUGCUGACAAGUAUACACGUCUUGCUAGCAAAUAUGAUGUUGAUGGAUAUCCUACCCUCAAAAUCUUUAUGCAUGGUGUUCCUGUAGACUACUAUGGACCAAGGAAAGCAGAUUUACUUGUUCGUUAUCUGAGGAAAUUUGUUGCUCCCGAUGUUGCCAUACUUAGUUCCGACCUUGCUAUAAAAGAUUUUGUUGAAGCAGCUGGCACUAACUUCCCUAUAUUUAUAGGUUUUGGCAUGAAUGAGACAGUGAUAUCAACUUUAGGCUUAAAGUAUAAGAAAAAUGCUUGGUUUUCUGUAGCAAAUGAUUUUUCGGAGGACGUCAUGGUACGCUAUGAUUUUGACAAGGUUCCUGCUUUGGUAGUCCUUCAUCCUAGUUACAAUGAGCAGAGCAUCUUUUAUGGCCCCUUUGAAGAGAAAUUUUUGGAGGACUUCAUAAAACAAAAUUUUCUUCCUCCAGCUGUGCCCAUGAACCAUGAUACACUGAAGAUAUUGAAGCAUGAUGAGAGAAAAAUUGUCUUGACCAUCAUGGAGGAUGAAUCUGAUGAAAAAUCACAAAAACUGAUCAAGUUACUGAAAGCUGCUGCAUCUGCAAAUCGUGACUUGGUAUUUGGUUAUGUUGGCCUCAAACAAUGGGAAGACUUUGCUGAAACAUUUGGUGCCAAUAAGGAUUCAAAACUGCCAAAAAUGGUUGUUUGGGAUGGAGAUGAGGAGUAUCUCUCAGUUAUUGGUUUAGACAGCAUAGAAGAGGAAGACCAGGGCUCUCAAAUCACACAUUUUGUUGAAGGAUA
rnacentral:misc_RNA from 1 species